UGGGAAGGACCCUACAAGGUUGCUGACACCUUCGGGCCGAGAGCCUAUCGGCUGGAGACCCUUGAGGGGAAGCCCAUUCCCCGGACUUGGAACGCCGACAACUUGAAGCUGUAUUACCAGUGAAUUCUGUAAUUCAAUUGUCGGAAUACAUGUUCAGUUUGAAAAAUUGGAGUUCUAACUCUUCAACUAUCGAUCGGCGCUCAGCCCCGACGCAUCGACGUGGAUCUGGCACCGACGACACAUCGGCCCCUUACACGGACCGAUGCAUCUACAAUGACG
rnacentral:lncRNA from 1 species